rnacentral:rRNA from 1 species
CCUACGGGAGGCAGCAGUGAGGAAUAUUGGACAAUGGAGGGAACUCUGAUCCAGCCAUGCCGCGUGCAGGAAGACUGCCCUAUGGGUUGUAAACUGCUUUUAUACAGGAAGAAACACUGGUAUGUAUACCAGCUUGACGGUAC